GAUUUACUCGAGCGAAAGCAUGUGUUUAGAUAACUUAUCAAAAAUAUAGAUGGAACGAAUGUUCAUGUAACAGUCCGGUUGUGGCCCUAGUCGAAAUAGUGGUUUUGAGACCACGUAACCGAUUCUAAAAAAUAUUUUAAUAUUAUUUUCUGUGUCUAUGAUAUGUGAAUUCAUAUCUGUGAAGUUUCUGUGAUUUAAUUUUUCUGUUUCUGUGCUUAAUUAUGAAAAAGGAUUAAAUCGUAAAAGUGUAAAAGCCGUGUGCUAGAUGUUAAAGCACCUAUUUAUUUGGCUUAUUUAAGUGGGGGUCCUUGCAUGUCAAAUUUAC
rnacentral:lncRNA from 1 species